GGGGAACAAAGGUCACUCAUCCCUGAAUACCAUAAAGUUAACAUUCAGAGAUGUUUCAAAUCAUUGCACUGAUAGAACCAUAAUUACUAUUACCUUCAGCAACUCAGAGGAAGCAAUGCAUACAAACAUAUUCAAAAAGAGAUACAACCAGACCAUUACCAUCUACAUGUAAACUUCCCACUCAAAUACUUAUUGACUAUUUCUUGAUCUUAUCGGUUUGAAACUUCUUAUUGUUUCUCUAAUAGACUAAUACUCUCAUGCCAUGAUAGAAGCAUUCUGUGUGAUUAAUAGAAUCCAUGGUCAACUGUACUUCCAACUUGGGUGAUUGUGCAUGAAAAAAAAUUAUCAUUUCACCAUUUAAGAUCAAACUUCUGUAAGUAUGUAACAUGCUAAGAGGAUAGGAGUCAAUGCUUUUUCACACUGCCAUUCCCAUGAAGCACAUCUUGUUAGUUGCAGGUUAUGCUAUUACGAUAGCCUACAAAUGCUCAGUAUUAACUUUCUAAAAUGGUGAUGAACUGACAUCUCCCUAUCAUUUUAUCAGGUCAAACAUACAUAUGAAGGUAUCCAUGCCACAGUCCCGGAUUGAAUACUUUGAAAGCAGAAUGGAAGAGCCAAAGGAAAUUGAGAAUCGUCAAAGAUUAACAUAACUGAAUUGAACAAAAUUCUAGCAUAUCAACCAUCUCAUCAUUUGGGCUUUUCAUAACAAAGGAAAUUUCAAUUGAUCACCCACCUUGACAGUAGCCAACAUCUGUA
rnacentral:misc_RNA from 1 species